AACGAACGCUGGCGGCAGGCUUAACACAUGCAAGUCGAACGCCCCGCAAGGGGAGUGGCAGACGGGUGAGUAACGCGUGGGAAUCUACCGUACCCUACGGAAUAGCUCCGGGAAACUGGAAUUAAUACCGUAUACGCCCUACGGGGAAGAUUUAUCGGGGUAUGAUGAGCCCGCGUUGGAUUAGCUAGUUGGUGGGUAAAGGCCUACCAAGGCGACGAUCCAUAGCUGGUCUGAGAGGAUGAUCAGCCACAUUGGGACUGAGACACGGCCCAAACUCCUACGGAGGCAGCAGUGGGGAAUAUUGGACAAUGGGCGAAAGCCUGAUCCAGCAAUGCCGCGUGAGUGAUGAAGGCCUUAGGGUUGUAAAGCUCUUUUACCUGGGUAUGAUAAUGACAGUACCGGGAGAAUAAGCCCCGG
rnacentral:rRNA from 1 species